rnacentral:tRNA from 1 species
AGUGGCCGAGGCCGUCCGGCGGGGGCGGGGCGCCGCGGUCGCCCCGGUAGGCCAGGUUCAGCACCGGGAACUGCUG